CAUCCGGUGGCCACAGAGCAACUUCCUCUAGAGGGAGCUGAUUGGAGCCGGUUGCCGCUGGCACCUCUAUGAUCACUGGAGUCUCGCGGGUCCCUCAGGCAGCACAGGGACAAGCAAAGGCUACAUCCAGAUGCCAGGAAUGCACUGACGCCUGUUCCUGGAAGCCGAGCUCCCACUCAGCCCCUGGGAGCAGCAGCCGCCAGCCCCUCGGGACCUCUCUCUCUGCCCUGCUGAGCCACCCGGGUUGGGCCAGGAUCCUGGCAGGCUGACCCCGUCCUCCACUGAGACCUGAAAAAUGGCUUCGGGACAAGGCCCAGGUCCUCCCAGGCAGGAAUGCGGAGAGCCUGCCCUGCCCUCUGCUUCUGAGGAGCAGGUAGCCCGGGACACAGAGGAGGUUUUCCGCAGCUACGUUUUUUACCGCCAUCAGCAGGAACAGGAGGCUGAAGGGGCGGCUGCCCCUGCCGACCCAGAGAUGGACACCUUGCCCUUGCAACCUAGCAGCACCAUGGGGCAGGUGGGACGGCAGCUCGCCAUCAUCGGGGACGACAUCAACAGACGCUAUGACUCAGAGUUCCAGACCAUGCUGCAGCACCUGCAGCCCACGGCAGAGAACGCCUAUGAGUACUUCACCAAGAUUGCCUCCAGGUACCCCUGCCGGCUCCAGUCACUCCCCUGUCCUGUCACAACCACACCAUACCCUGCCUGCAUGAUGCGCUCCUGGCAUGGGGAGAUGCCUUCUGUCAGUCAGUGUCCAGUGUCUGCUGUGAACUCACAUGUGGUCUCAGCCCCCUGUUUUUCUCUCUCGGGGUCCCAGACUCGUCUUGUGGGCAUUAGCUCACAGCUCUUUUGAUCUCUGACUCCAAGGACUUGACUGGUUAGAUCAGGACUCUAGAGGGGGCCUGAGGUGGGGAUGUUGCCCACAGCUCCCCGGCCCAGCUGGGACACAGCUAUCCUUCAUGGUUCCAAUUUGACACCACAUAUCACACUGAAGAUGGUAAGGGUGCUAACCUCUGCCAGGUCCUAGAAAUGGCUCCUAGUUGCUAUAAUCUGGCAUCCAAGUGGUUAAAGACACCAAAUAUUUGGGUGUAAAUCCAAGCUUUGCCCCUUCUGCCUUUGUGAAACUUCCUAGCCCUUAGUCUCCUGGUUUGUAAAAUAGGGAAAAUAUGCUUAGCUCAGUGUCCUCCUUACAAAGUGUUAGCCAUUGCUACCACCAGAGUUAGGGAGGUCAGUGUCGGGGUAGAUUGAAGCGGGAGGUGAAGGUAGGAGUGAUGGAUUUUAGAAUUAGUGCUCAGAGCUGAAAUAUCCAGCCCGUGAACUUAGAGGCCAGCCUUCAUACCACUGUGAUGACAGGAACUACCCUAAUCUUCUCUGUCCUUUUCUCUCUGCCGUCUCUCGGGCUGCCAGGCCAGCAGCAACACCCACAGCCUGUUUGAGAGUGGCAUCAACUGGGGCCGUGUGGUGGCUCUUCUGGGCUUCGGCUACCGUCUGGCCCUACACGUCUACCAGCACGGCCUGACUGGCUUCCUGGGCCAGGUGACCCGCUUCGUGGUCGACUUCAUGCUGCAUCACUGCAUUGCCCGGUGGAUUGCACAGAGGGGUGGCUGGGUGGCAGCCCUGAACUUGGGCAAUGGUCCCAUCCUGAACGUGCUGGUGGUUCUGGGUGUGGUUCUGUUGGGCCAGUUUGUGGUACGAAGAUUCUUCAAAUCAUGACUCCCAAGGGUGCCCUUUGGGGUCCCAGCUCAGACUCCUGCCUGGACUUAAGCCAAGUUUUUGCCUUCUCCGCUCCCUUGCAGGGGUCCCCCCUCAAGAGUACAGAAGCUUUAGCAAGUGUGCACUCCAGCUUCGGAGGUCCCCUGUGUGGGGGCCAGUCAGGCUGCAGAGGCGCCUCAACGUUGCAUGGUGCUAGUGGGCCCUCUCUGGGCCCAGGGGCCGUGGCCUCCUCCCUCGGCUCUCUGGGACCUCCUUAGCCCUGUCUGCUAGGAGCUGGGGAGACUGAUAACUUGGGGAGGCAAGAGACUGGGAGCCACUUCUCCCCAGAAAGUGUUUCAUGGUUUUAGCUUUUUAUAAUACCCUGUGAGAGCUAUUCCCACCAUUCUACCUGAGGCCAGGACGUCUAGGGUGUGGGGGUUGGUGGGUAUACCCUAUGUUCCCCAGGAUUCAGCUGUUAUGGAAGAUCAGAGCCUAAGAGCUGGGACUGGGACUUGAGCCUGGUCCUGGCCCUCCCUAAGCAUCGUGUGUCCCAGGAGCAGGACCUACUAGGAGAGGGGGGCCAAGGUCCUGCCCAACUCUCCCCCUGCUCCCAUUCCUCCCUCCGACCAUACUGCCUUUGCAGUUGGACUCUCAGGGAUUCUGGGCUUGGGGUGUGGGGUGGGGUGGAGUCGCAGACCAGAGCUGUCUGAACUUAGGUGUCAGAAGCCUCCAAGCCUGCCUCUCAAGGUCCUCUCAGUUCUCUCCCUUCCUCUCGCCUUAUAGACACUUGUCCCAACCCAUUCACUACAGGUGAAGGACCUCACCCCCAUCCCUGGGGGCCUUGGUUGAGUGGCCUGCUAAGGCCCCUCCUUGCCUCGACUACAGGGCUUAGGACUUGGUUUGUUAUUUCAGGGAAAAGGAGUAGGGAGUUCAUCUAGAGGGUUUUAAGUGGGAGGACUAUCAACACCACUAGGAAUCCCAGAGGUGGGAUCCUCCCUCAUGGCUCUGGCACAGUGUAAUCCAGGGGUGUAGAUGGGGGAACUGUGAAUACUUGAACUCUGUCCCCUCACCCUCCAUGCUCCUCACCUGUUUAGGUCUCUCCUCAGGGUAGGGGUUAGAGUGCCUUCUCUACUGGGCACAGCCUAGGGUCUUGUGGGAGAGGGGGGAGAAGUUCUUGAUUCAGCCAAAUGCGGGGGGGGGGGGGCAGAUGGAGCCCAUAGGCCACCCCCUAUCCUCUGAGUGUUUGGAAAUAAACUGUGCAAUCCCCUCACCCUGA